UGUUUUUGGAUAUUGGAUCAAUCUUUAUGAACAUCUGAGUGGAUGCUAAAUUUGUCUUUUGUCAAAAAUACAGUCCUCAUGAGAUUGAACUCAACUUCAUAGUUCUGACUCUGUGCCACUAUCAAUUGAACCUUCUUGUUUUGAAAGCAAAUCUGGAAUCGUAUCUGACACACAUUGGUGAAGAAUAUUGUUUUACAAACAGACCUUGUAGCUUGUUCAGACAUGACUGCCUGGGACCCACACAAGGGUGUGAAUGAUGACUGCUCAAAGCCAUAUUCUGGUGAACCAUUUAGACCUUAUUUGUGAUGUACAUUGGGAUGUGACUGAGACCUUUAACACGCACACAAAUCCAACUGCUUUUUUAAUCACUGGGGAAGAAGGAGCUGCAAGAAGCAUGACUAAAAAUUGGACAUUUGAUGACCUAUGUAAUUCAACUAACAGCAGCAUUUAUGGGAAUCUCUCAUUAUUCAAGAGCACAUCUUUUCUGCUCCCAAGAGUUGCCGUGGUUUCUCCUUAUUUGAA
rnacentral:lncRNA from 1 species